rnacentral:rRNA from 1 species
CCUACGGGUGGCAGCAGUGGGGUAUAUUGCACAAUGGGGGAAACCCUGAUGCAGCGACGCCGCGUGAGUGAAGAAGUAAUUCGUUAUGUAAAGCUCUAUCAGCAGGGAAGAAAAUGACGGUACCUGAGUAAGAUGCCCCGGCUAACUAAGUGACAGCAGCCGCGGUAACAUGUAGGGGGCAAGCGUGAUCCGGAUUUACUGGGUGUAAAGGGAGCGCAGACGGCAGUGCAAGUAUGGAGUGAAAGGCGGGGGCUCAACCCGCGGACUGCUGUGGACACUGUACGGCUGGAGUGCAGGAGAGGUAAGUGGAAUUCGUAGUGUAGCGGUGAAAUGCGUAGAUAUUAGGAGGAACCCCAGUGGCGAAGGCAGCUUGCUGGACUGUAACGGACGUUGAGGCUCGAAAGCGUGGGGAGCAAACAGGAUUAGAUACCCGGGUAGUC